rnacentral:misc_RNA from 1 species
GGCCAAGACAAGAAAACUCAAUGCGUAAAUUGAUAUGAAAGAUUACAAGACCUAUAAAGGGCCGAGUCACGGUCAUGCUCGUCAAAUUUAUAACCUUGCAAGGCAUCCAUCGCAGUGGCAGCAUGGGCAGGACUCAAAAAGUCAACAAAACAGAGUACCAGUGGAUCUCCUCCUGGACGCCUUGACUCCUUGCUCACAAGUCUCACUUCUUUGUAGCCAACAAAAGGGCGAAAGAUAUGUGACACCUCCCGUCGUGUACAAUCAGAUGGCAAGCCCUCUACAAACAGUGUACUGGUAGCAUCAGGAGGCAGUGGGGCCUCAGGUCUGCCACUUCCCAAUCCCAUUGUCCUGUCUUUUACAGUAGCCCCUGGGUCCAGUCUCCCAAUACCUACAACACGCGAAUCAUCAACAGGACGACUAGGCACUCCACUAAUUGGUCUAGCAGACUGUCCUCCACUGUAGGACGACAUAGGCGUGCUACGCAGGUAUCGAUCAUAGGAUGCUCCAAUAGACUCUGAAUCUCUAAUUGCACGGAGAGCUGCUCGGUCAUCAUCACGGGGAUAGUAAUUGGGCAGCUCAUUGCCACCAGGGACAUCAUAGUCGGAGCGAGGGCGUUUUCCGACGAGAGUAGGUAUGGCCUGCUGUUGCUGCUGCCGUGCGUCGCCGUAUCUCCAAUAGGCAUCGGCCAUAACUUAGGGAGAACUUUUAGAGAGAGAGAGAGAGCGAAAGAGAGAACACGGGAGAAGGAACAGAAGAGAAAAGCAGAAUUUAGAAGGACGAGUCGAGAGUUGAUUGUUGGAUUUGUUUAAUGUGGCAAAAGGCAACG